rnacentral:rRNA from 1 species
UGGGGAAUUUUGGACAAUGGGCGAAAGCCUGAUCCAGCAAUGCCGCGUGUGUGAAGAAGGCCUUCGGGUUGUAAAGCACUUUUGUCCGGAAAGAAAUCCUUGGCUCUAAUACAGUCGGGGGAUGACGGUACCGGAAGAAUAAGCACCGGCUAACUACGUGCCAGCAGCCGCGGUAAUACGUAGGGUGCAAGCGUUAAUCGGAAUUACUGGGCGUAAAGCGUGCGCAGGCGGUUUGCUAAGACCGAUGUGAAAUCCCCGGGCUCAACCUGGGAACUGCAUUGGUGACUGGCAGGCUAGAGUAUGGCAGAGGGGGGUAGAAUUCCACGUNUAGCAGUGAAAUGCGUAGAGAUGUGGAGGAAUACCGAUGGCGAAGGCAGCCCCCUGGGCAAUACUGACGCUCAUGCACGAAAGCGUGGGGAGCAAACAGGAUUAGAUACCCUGGUAGUCCACGCCCUAAACGAUGUCAACUAGUUGUUGGGGAUCAUUUCCUUAGUAACGUAGCUAACGCGUGAAGUUGACCGCCUGGGGAGUACGGUCGCAAGAUUAAAACUUAAAUGAAUUGACGGGGUCAUAGCU